rnacentral:rRNA from 1 species
GACGAACGCUGGCGGCGUGCUUAACACAUGCAAGUCGAACGAUGAAGAAAAGAAUCGAAGCUUCGGCAGAAAUUCAUUUCGGAUUAGUGGCAGACGGGUGGGUAACGCGUGAGCAACCUACCUCUUACAAAGGGAUAGCCUCGGGAAACCGGGAUUAAUACCAUAUAACAUUGUGACGAAGCAUUUCGAUGCAAUCAAAGCUACGGCGGUAAGAGAUGGGCUCGCGUCCCAUUAACCGGAUGGUGAGGUAACGGCUCACCAUAGUGACGAUGGGUAACCGGCCUGAGAGGGUGAACGGUCACACUGGAACUGAGACACGGUCCAGACUCCUACGGGAGGCAGCAGUGGGGAAUAUUGCACAAUGGAGGGAACUCUGAUGCAGCGACGCCGCGUGAGUGAUGAAGGAAUUCGUUUCGUAAAACUCUGUUCUAUGGGAAGAAAAGGACUGUACCAUAGGAGAAAGCUCCGGCUAAAUACGUG